AAACAUACUUGUCCCCUUAAUAAGCCCUCAUAAAGUCAUAAAAGGUUUUUGAAGAAUAUUUGGGCAUGGUAAAAGUGUGUAUCCCCGGUACCAGCCUGAAGAGAUUUAAAUUAACAAAGAAUCAUGUUACACUGAGGCGAGAGAGACAAUGACGGUGGGAGUAAUGACGAUCUCGGCUUCAGGAGGACAAUGUGGAAGACUGCAAGCUGUCACCUCAUUGUGGUGGAGGGGUUUGCGUGUCCCAAUGAUCCUUAUAGCUAAGAUGUCUUGUGCUCAAGCAAAGUCGCACAUGGCAAACAGGUCGUAGACACAGGUCACCGGGGCACACCCUCUGGAACCAGGUCUGUAGGUGGGGCUCAAAGGUGGCUGGGGAUGCACCAAUGGGCCCUGGCUGCGUAUAUCUCGAAAAACCAAUGUGGCUUCCCACUGGCUCACCACCUGUAGGAGGGGCCAACGAGGUCGGUUGCUGUGUGAGCUGUGCAGCAGCCGAAGGGGACCCAGUCAAUCAGAACCCCAUCAACAGAAGGUGGCUUUGGGGAUGUGGAACAUCACCGCUCUGGCACAGAAAGAGCAUGAACUGGUGCGCAAGUUGUGAAAUUCCGACUGGAAAUACAGUAGUUAGGCUCAUUUCAACACAUAACGUGGGUCCUGGUGCCAGUGUUUUUGAGAGGGUUUGGACACGUGUGGGCAUACUGAUUGCAUCCUCACUCCAAGCCUAUACAUUAGGGUUCACCGUAAUUUGAAAUGGUUAAGUGCAUUUAAUCCAUAUUAAGGAGUCGUUGCUCAUCAUCAGUCUCGCUGAACUAACAGCUGAUUGAGCUGACUCACAGGAAGAAAGCAAACAAAGACCAUGAUAAUGAAAGCAUGCAUCCUAAAGCAUGUGACCUCAUGUCUCACUAUGAUACAAGUGUAAUACAGUAUAUCGCCAGUAAGCAUAGUAAAAUAUUUGUAUAAAACAGUACAGUAUACUGUACAUCAACUGAGGACAUACAUACAGUCUCUUAACAGUAAGUUUCAAAUGUGCGAGAUUUGCAAUACCCACAAUUCCUUUUUUUUUUUUUUUUUAUACCAUCCAUAUCAGGCCCAUCACAAUCAGUGGAUAUUUUAUUUUUACAUUUCAUAGCUCCUGACCAGCACUCCCGUGACCCUUGUGAUGAUAAGUGGCUUUGGAAAACGGAUGGAUAGAUAGUUGUUUUAAUAAUUUCCUUAUUUUCUGGUGAGAAACACUAAAGACAGGUUUAUUUUAAUAUACAUUCUGAUCAUUUCUUUCACCAUAAGAAGGACUGUCACCCACAAGACAAGGUCCAACGUUAAAGGUCAAGUGUCGUCAAACGGAUGGUUUUUGGUAUAUUAUUAAUGAAAAACCCACAUAUUUUACUAUGCUUACUGGCGAUAUACUGUAUUACACUUGUAUCAUAGUGAGACAUGAGGUCACAUGCUUUAGGAUAUCAUCUGAAUAUGGCUCGAAACAAUAAAGUAAUAUUGCCCUGAGGGCUCGAAACAAUAGUGUAAUAUUGUCCCGGUAACUUCACUCGGUUGUGUGGUGUUGUCCUUUUCGAAAAGAGCUUCGGUGUCAGAAGGGGCGUCGUGAAAAUGUGAAUAUCUCUGUUGUUCGGCUUCCAUAGUAGCAGGCACUGCGCAUUUUCAACGGCGGAAGUGACGUUGACGUCAAGGACAGAUGACGCGACUAAUAUGGCGACCACUUGGAUGUCGGGCGACACUCAAUUGCGCAACUUUGUGCAUGGAUGACGCACUCUCCGCUCACUUUUUUUUUCGUAUAGACAUUGAAGUGAAUACCGUUAUAUGUAUUUUUCAUUACAAUAUCUAUUUUAGAAUGUUUAUAGGGAUGUCAGUCCCACUUUAAAAAAAUUAUAUAUGCUAUUCCCUACGAAAGUUAUUUCUUUUAGUUCCUUGUCAUUGAUAAGAAAUUAGUUGGGAUAACUUGCCUUUGCAGUCCAACUCUUUAUUAUAGCAUAUAAUGUAGUGAUGCACCAAAGUUUCGGCCACUGAAACGUUUGGGCCAAAAAUGGAACAAAAGUGCUUUUUGGGUUUAGGACCAAAAUCUUUUUAUCACCAAUAUAAAACCUCCAAAAUAGAAUGUUGUUAUGAAAAAGGAAGGAUGCUGUUAUGUACAGUAUACUGUUAAAAAAAUACAAUAAUAAAGCCACAUCCACAUUUUGCAGUUUACGCAGUUCAGGUACAAAGUGGAAGGCUCCUUGCUUGCUAUUAUACCCAACUCACCAGCUACCAAUGAGGUACAGGCAAGGCUAACAUGCACUUUAGAACAGGAAAUGGGGAAUGAAUUAGAUGGUUAUUGAUAAUCAUUUACAUCACUUGGGG